UAAUAUUUAAAUGGAAUAUUGAAAAUAUAAAAAAAUCACAAUUAUAAAAUUUGAUAUUAUGAAAAACAAAAACAAAAAAAUAAGUUAAAAAAAUUAAAAAUAAUAUACUAAUUAAAAAGAAUUGAAAACAUAUUUAUUCAAAAAAAGAUGAGAGAGGAGAUAGAAAUUAAUAAAAUUUUAAUAUUUAAACAAAUUUAAGAGCACCCGCAAC
rnacentral:lncRNA from 1 species